UCCCUAGUGGCUCAGCUGGUAAAGAAUCUGCCUGCAAUGCAGGAGAACUGGGUUCGAUCCCUGGGUUGGGAA
rnacentral:tRNA from 1 species